rnacentral:rRNA from 1 species
AUUGAACGCUGGCGGCAGGCUUAACACAUGCAAGUCGAGCGAGCGGCGGACGGGUGAGUAAUGUCUGGGAAACUGCCUGAUGGAGGGGGAUAACUACUGGAAACGGUAGCUAAUACCGCAUACCAUCAGAUGUGCCCAGAUGGGAUUAGCUAGUAGGUGGGGUAAUGGCUCACCUAGGCGACGAUCCCUAGCUGGUCUACGAGGAGGACCAGCCAAACGGGAACUGAGACACGGUCCAGACUCCUACGGAGGGCAGCAGGGGGGAAUAUUGCACAAUGGGCGCAAGCCUGAUGAAGCCAUGCCGGGGGUGGGAAGAAGGCCUUCGGGUUUUAAAGCACUUUCAGCGAGGAGGCGUUACUCGCAGAAGAAGCACCGGCUAACUCCGUGCCAGCCGCCGCGGUAAUAC